rnacentral:rRNA from 1 species
UACGAAGGGGGCUAGCGUUGCUCGGAAUCACUGGGCGUAAAGCGUGCGCAGGCGGUGAUGUAAGACAGGUGUGAAAUCCCCGGGCUUAACCUGGGAACUGCAUUUGUGACUGCAUUGCUGGAGUGCGGCAGAGGGGGAUGGAAUUCCGCGUGUAGCAGUGAAAUGCGUAGAUAUGCGGAGGAACACCGAUGGCGAAGGCAAUCCCCUGGGCCUGCACUGACGCUCAUGCACGAAAGCGUGGGGAGCAAACAGG